UAUCGCCCUGAUUAGCCAAUGGGAAGGGUAGCAGAGGUAUGGCUAAUUACCAUAUUUCUCUUUUAUUAGAUAGGAUUAUAUUUGAGGUACAGAACUGGAUUGCAAAAGAGUUUACAGUGCCCACAACCUCUUGUGGGAAGCUUUUUAGUAUCUCAGGUGUAUGGAACCACUGCCGCAACUAUGUCACCUGAAGCUUCAGCUACACUGAAACUUCAUUACAAAAUUCACCCUCCUUUUUUCUGUUACUGCAAUUUGAACAUGUAUUUUAACAAAAACUCAGUUCUGAAAGAUUAUUUUGAUGUUGCUGUACCAACAAAUUUAUGGCAUUAUUCUGUGACUUGUCUUAGUUUCUGCCUAUUGCUAAAGAUGGCUUUGUUCGUUGACCUACCUUAAGAUUUUGGGCCCCUUAUUAAAUGUCUUACAUUCUGCCUCAUAACAAAAUUGUUAUGUAAAGAUUCUGUUAUAGAAUUGGUAAAUUGGUUAACUUUAUCAUGCAGAAGAUUACCUGAAGACGACUUGACAAAUUUCAGGUCCCUUUGGCCAUGUGUCUAAAUGGUAUUUCCCUGUCUAGGUUUUCUUUUUCUCUUUAAAAUUUUGCUCUAGCUUCCUCUGAACAACAAAGUAAUAGCUAUGUUCCUAUGGGGCCUAUAAUAACAAUACUUUGUUAAUCUGUUUACAGUCAUUUUACCAAUGCUCUUUAGGUCAUUCUCUAUCCAUGUAAUAGUCCCUAAACUUUGCUCCUCUUAAUGUGCCAUUUGUAUAACAGUUCAUCCUUAAUAAAUUGUAUUAAUGGGAGAGGAUAUGAGUUAUUAUGUCUGCAUUUGUUGUUUUGUAAUUGAUUGCCUCUCUUUAUUGUCACAGAUACGGGGUGUGGCAAAAAUAGGUUUACAGUUGUGAGUUCGUGAAAGGUUUUAUGGUAUUGAUUAAUUACUAUAUUUUUCAUACAACACCUAUAAACCUACUUUUACAGCAUUCUACAUCAUAAGAAUAAAAUAGUUCACAUUGAUUUUAGGUACUUGGUGGAAAGGCAGAAAGAUGGAAAUACGUUUUCCUCUGAUACAGGCAUGUAAGUGGCAUCCACUAGCAUUGCUUUAAUUCUGUUAGUGAUACAGCUUUCCAAGGUCCGUUUUCUCUUGCUAAUUGACUAGCUAAUCUAAGUCAGGUAAGCAUUAACUCUUUGUUGACUGAGAAUAAUAAAGCUAUUGCUAGACAGUAAUUUGUAUAGCUUUACUUGUGUUUUAUGUAUUGUUUAUCUUUCCCUUGUUCAUUUGUUAUAACUUUCAGAAUUAUUUACAUGCCCACAGUUCAUCAUUCCUUCCCUAUGGCUUAGCUCACUAAACUUUUCCUCCAAAACUAAAAGAUUUCGCAGGGCUAGGAAAAAAGAUCUUGAAUACCAUCAAAAAUAAUAGUUGUGUUUUUCUUCAGUUAAAUAUUUGUAAUGGCUCUGAUAUUUGUUUUUGAUAUUUUUGUGUCGAUUUUUUCUUUUUUUGUCUUUUUUGUGUGUGUCAAUUUUUUUUAAAAAAAGCUCAUCUAUUUGUAUUAAUUCAUGUAUUAUUACUUUCACUUUCAGAGUAUUUUACUUCUAAGGAAAGUUUUACAUUAGUACUUUAUUAUGAGUCCAUGUCAUUCUUUUCCAAGAGGAACAUUAUUUUCCAUGUUAUAAUAAAUAGUGGAAAAAUAGCUUUCACCGUAUAGACAUUUACUUUAUAGGUACUGUUUAAGAAUACAAGUUUG